rnacentral:rRNA from 1 species
UCCUACGGGGGGCAGCAGUGAGGAAUAUUGGUCAAUGGGCGGAAGCCUGAACCAGCCAAGUCGCGUGAGGGAAGAAGGCCCUGCGGGUCGCAGACCUCUUUGGACGGGGAGCAAGGCCGCCGACGUGUCGGCGGAAGGAGAGUACCCGUAGAACAAGCAUCGGCUAACUCCGUGCCAGCAGCCGCGGUAAUACGGGGGAUGCGAGCGUUAUCCGGAUUUAUUGGGUUUAAAGGGUGCGUAGGCGGCGCUUCAGGUCAGCGGUGAAAUACCGGGGCUCAACCCCGGGGCUGCCGUUGAAACCGGAG